AGAGUUUGAUCCUGGCUCAGGAUGAACGCUGGCGGCGUGCUUAACACAUGCAAGUCGAGCGGUAAGGCCCUUCGGGGUACACGAGCGGCGAACGGGUGAGUAACACGUGGGUGACCUGCCCUCAGCUCUGGGAUAAGCCUGGGAAACCGGGUCUAAUACCGGAUACGACCAACUGCCGCAUGGUGGUUGGUGGAAAGUAGGUGUUUUCGGACACUGUCGGCUGGGGAUGGGCCCGCGGCCUAUCAGCUUGUUGGUGGGGUGAUGGCCUACCAAGGCGGUGACGGGUAGCCGGCCUGAGAGGGCGACCGGCCACACUGGGACUGAGACACGGCCCAGACUCCUACGGGAGGCAGCAGUGGGGAAUAUUGCGCAAUGGGCGGAAGCCUGACGCAGCGACGCCGCGUGGGGGAUGACGGCCUUCGGGUUGUAAACCUCUUUCGCCGGGGACGAAGCUUUUGUGACGGUACCCGGAGAAGAAGCACCGGCCAACUACGUGCCAGCAGCCGCGGUAACACGUAGGGUGCGAGCGUUGUCCGGAAUUAUUGGGCGUAAAGAGCUCGUAGGCGGUGUGUCGCGUCGGCCGUGAAAACUUGGGGCUUAACUCUGAGCGUGCGGUCGAUACGGGCAUCACUUGAGUUCGGCAGGGGAGACUGGAAUUCCUGGUGUAGCGGUGAAAUGCGCAGAUAUCAGGAGGAACACCGGUGGCGAAGGCGGGUCUCUGGGCCGAUACUGACGCUGAGGAGCGAAAGCAUGGGGAGCGAACAGGAUUAGAUACCCUGGUAGUCC
rnacentral:rRNA from 1 species